rnacentral:rRNA from 1 species
UUUAUGGAGAGUUUGAUCCUGGCUCAGAGUGAACGCUGGCGGCGUGCCUAAUACAUGCAAGUCGAACGAUGAAGCUUCUAGCUUGCUAGAGUGCUGAUUAGUGGCGCACGGGUGAGUAACGCAUAGGUCAUGUGCCUCUUAGUUUGGGAUAGCCAUUGGAAACGAUGAUUAAUACCAGAUACUCCCUACGGGGGAAAGAUUUAUCGCUAAGAGAUCAGCCUAUGUCCUAUCAGCUUGUUGGUAAGGUAAUGGCUUACCAAGGCUAUGACGGGUAUCCGGCCUGAGAGGGUGAACGGACACACUGGAACUGAGACACGGUCCAGACUCCUACGGGAGGCAGCAGUAGGGAAUAUUGCUCAAUGGGGGAAACCCUGAAGCAGCAACGCCGCGUGGAGGAUGAAGGUUUUAGGAUUGUAAACUCCUUUUGUUAGAGAAGAUAAUGACGGUAUCUAACGAAUAAGCACCGGCUAACUCCGUGCCAGCAGCCGCGGUAAUACGGAGGGUGCAAGCGUUACUCGGAAUCACUGGGCGUAAAGAGCGCGUAGGCGGGAUAGUCAGUCAGGUGUGAAAUCCUAUGGCUUAACCAUAGAACUGCAUUUGAAACUACUAUUCUAGAGUGUGGGAGAGGUAGGUGGAAUUCUUGGUGUAGGGGUAAAAUCCGUAGAGAUCAAGAGGAAUACUCAUUGCGAAGGCGACCUGCUGGAACAUUACUGACGCUGAUUGCGCGAAAGCGUGGGGAGCAAACAGGAUUAGAUACCCUGGUAGUCCACGCCCUAAACGAUGGAUGCUAGUUGUUGGAGGGCUUAGUCUCUCCAGUAAUGCAGCUAACGCAUUAAGCAUCCCGCCUGGGGAGUACGGUCGCAAGAUUAAAACUCAAAGGAAUAGACGGGGACCCGCACAAGCGGUGGAGCAUGUGGUUUAAUUCGAAGAUACACGAAGAACCUUACCUAGGCUUGACAUUGAGAGAAUCCGCUAGAAAUAGUGGAGUGUCUAGCUUGCUAGACCUUGAAAACAGGUGCUGCACGGCUGUCGUCAGCUCGUGUCGUGAGAUGUUGGGUUAAGUCCCGCAACGAGCGCAACCCCCUUUCUUAGUUGCUAACAGGUUAUGCUGAGAACUCUAAGGAUACUGCCUCCGUAAGGAGGAGGAAGGUGGGGACGACGUCAAGUCAUCAUGGCCCUUACGCCUAGGGCUACACACGUGCUACAAUGGGGUGCACAAAGAGAAGCAAUACUGCGAAGUGGAGCCAAUCUUCAAAACAUCUCUCAGUUCGGAUUGUAGGCUGCAACUCGCCUGCAUGAAGCUGGAAUCGCUAGUAAUCGCAAAUCAGCCAUGUUGCGGUGAAUACGUUCCCGGGUCUUGUACUCACCGCCCGUCACACCAUGGGAGUUGUGUUUGCCUUAAGUCAGGAUGCUAAAUUGGCUACUGCCCACGGCACACACAGCGACUGGGGUGAAGUCGUAACAAGGUAACCGUAGGUGAACCUGCGGUUGGAUCACCUCCUUU